GGUGAGGUGCCUGAGAGGCCGAAAGGAGCAGUUUGCUAAACUGUCGUACCGGGAAACCGGUACCGUGGGUUCGAAUCCCACCCUCACCG
rnacentral:tRNA from 1 species